UAACGUGAGCGUCCUAAGGUAGCGCGAUAAUUUGCUUUUCAAUUGAAGGAUGGUAUGAAAGGGUUAACGAAGAAGGUGCUGUGUCUAAAAAUUCAAUUUAAACUAACUUUAAGGUGAAGAGGCCUUUAUGUAAAAGAAGGACGACAAGACCCUAUGAAGCUUUAUCUUAAUUGGAGCUCUCAGGCUCUUAUACGAUUUUGAUGGGAGAUCAGUAGAAAUAAGUCUUCUACUAUUAUAUUAAUCUUACUAGUAUUUCCUAACUUUAUAUGUGUGGCUAGCUACUCUAGGGAUAACAGCGCAAUUUCUCCCGAAAGAUGGUAUUGGAGGGGAAGAUUGCGACCUCGAUGUUGGCUUUAGAUAUCCUAGAGGCGUAGAAGCUUCU
rnacentral:rRNA from 1 species